rnacentral:lncRNA from 1 species
AUGAAGCAACCUUGAGAUUCUUUAUUGAAGUCAGUAGAAAAUCUGAUGAACAAGGUAAAUUCCCACUGAUUAUAGAUAUUGAAAAAAGAAGCGGACGCACAACAAUCUUGCAUAACUUGACAAAUGUAGAAGAAUCUGUUAUUCACGAUGUAACGCCAAUCAGAUCAACACAAGGGAAUUCAACACUAGUUCCACUAGCAACACAAGAUUGCCAAAUUGGAACGCAAUAUGUUGAUCAGCUUGCAAUGGAAAUUAUUGAACAACAACGAGACAGACAACAUGACAAAUCAUACACAGAAGAACGAUAUGAUGAUGUAAUAACAGAUCCGAAUGAACGUGAAGUAAAAUUACAUCAAACCUACAAAGACAAAAAAAUCCUAUCACAAUCAAUGAGGCUGCAUUCAAUCAAGAAAAACAGACAACACAAAGUUCAACGAACAGGUCAUAG